rnacentral:rRNA from 1 species
CCUACGGGGGGCUGCAGUGAGGAAUAUUGGUCAAUGGGCGGGAGCCUGAACCAGCCAAGUCGCGUGAGGGAAGACGGUCCUAUGGAUUGUAAACCUCUUUAGUCGGGGAGCAAUGCCGGGCACGCGUGCCCGGAGGGAGAGUACCCGCAGAAUAAGCAUCGGCUAACUCCGUCCCAGCAGCCGCGUUAAUACGGAGGAUGCGAGCGUUACCCGGAUUUUUUGGGUUUAAAGGGUGCGUAGGCGGAUUUUUAAGUCAGCGGUAAAAUGUCCGGGCUCAACCCGGGCCGGCCGUUGAAACUGGGGAUGUUGAGUGGGCGAGAAGUAUGCGGAAUGCGUGGUGUAGCGGUGAAAUGCAUAGAUAUCACGCAGAACUCCGAUUGCGAAGGCAGCAUACCGGCGCCCGACUGACGCUGAGGCACGAAAGCGUGGGGAUCGAACAGGAUUAGAUACCCCUGUAGUC